UCCCUGGUGGCUCAGAUGGUAAAGAACCUGCCUGCAAUGCAGGAGACCCAGGUUUGAUACCCAGGUCAUGGAA
rnacentral:tRNA from 1 species